UACAGAGGGUGCGAGCGUUAAUCGGAAUUACUGGGCGUAAAGCGCACGUAGUCGGCUUUGCAAGUCGGGCGUGAAAUCCCCGGGCUCAACCUGGGAACUGCAUCCGAGACUGCAUUGCUAGAGUAUGGGAGAGGGAAGCGGAAUUUCUGGUGUAGCAGUGAAAUGCGUAGAUAUCAGAAGGAACAUCAGUGGCGAAGGCGGCUUCCUGGACCAAUACUGACGAUCAGGUGCGAAAGCGUGGGGAGCAAACAGG
rnacentral:rRNA from 1 species